CUGCCCUAUGGUAUAGACAGGUUAUCAUUUUCCUACUACUGCCCUAUGGUGUGGUAUAGACAGGUUCUCAUCUUCCUACUACUGCCCUAUGGUAUAGACAGGUUCUCAUCUUCCUACUACUGUCCUAUGGUAUAGACAGGUUCUCAUCUUCCUACUACUGUCCUGUGGUGUGGUAUAGACAGGUUCUCAUCUUCCUACUACUGUCCUGUGGUGUGGUAUAGACAGGUUCCCAUCUUCCUACUACUGUCCUGUGGUGUGGUAUAGACAGGUUCUCAUCUUCCUACUACUGUCCUGUGGUGUGGUAUAGACAGGUUCUCAUCUUCCUACUACUGCCAUAUGGUGUGGUAUAGACAGGUUCUCAUCUUCUUACUACUGUCCUAUGGUGUGGUAUAGACAGGUUCUCAUCUUUCUACUACUGCCCUAUGGUAUAGACAGGUUCUCAUCUUCCUACUACUGCCCUAUGGUGUGUUAUAGACAGGUUCUCAUCUUCCUACUACUGUCCUAUGGUAUAGACAGGUUCUCAUCUUCCUACUACUGUCCUGUGGUGUGGUAUAGACAGGUUCCCAUCUUCCUACUACUGUCCUGUGGUGUGGUAUAGACAGGUUCUCAUCUUCCUACUACUGUCCUAUGGUAUAGACAGGUUCUCAUCUUCCUACUACUGUCCUGUGGUGUGGUAUAGACAGGUUCCCAUCUUCCUACUACUGUCCUGUGGUGUGGUAUAGACAGGUUCUCAUCUUCCUACUACUGUCCUAUGGUAUAGACAGGUUCUCAUCUUCCUACUACUGUCCUGUGGUGUGGUAUAGACAGGUUCUCAUCUUCCUACUACUGCCCUGUCCUGUGGUAUAGACAGGUUCUCAUCUUCCUACUACUGUCCUAUGGUGUGGUAUAGACAGGUUCUCAUCUUCCUACUACUGCCCUAUGGUAUAGACAGGUUCUCAUCUUCCUACUACUGUCCUAUGGUAUAGACAGGUUCUCAUCUUCCUACUACUGUCCUAUGGUGUGGUAUAGACAGGUUCUCAUCUUCCUACUACUGUCCUGUCCUGUGGUAUAGACAGGUUCUCAUCUUCCUACUGCUGUCCUGUCUUGUGGUAUAGACAGGUUCUCAUCUUCCUACUACUGCCCUAUGGUAUAGACAGGUUCUCAUCUUCCUACUGCUGUCCUGUGGUAUAGACAGGUUCUCAUCUUCCUACUACUGUCCUAUGGUGUGGUAUAGACAGGUUCUCAUCUUCCUACUACUGUCCUGUCCUGUGGUAUAGACAGGUUCUCAUCUUCCUACUGCUGUCCUGUCUUGUGGUAUAGACAGGUUCUCAUCUUCCUACUACUGCCCUAUGGUAUAGACAGGUUCUCAUCUUCCUACUGCUGUCCUGUGGUAUAGACAGGUUCUCAUCUUCCUACUACUGCCCUAUGGUGUGGUAUAGACAGGUUCUCAUCUUCCUACUACUGUCCUAUGGUAUAGACAGGUUCUCAUCUUCCUACUACUGUCCUGUGGUGUGGUAUAGACAGGUUCCCAUCUUCCUACUACUGUCCUGUGGUGUGGUAUAGACAGGUUCUCAUCUUCCUACUACUGUCCUAUGGUAUAGACAGGUUCUCAUCUUCCUACUACUGUCCUGUGGUGUGGUAUAGACAGGUUCCCAUCUUCCUACUACUGUCCUGUGGUGUGGUAUAGACAGGUUCUCAUCUUCCUACUACUGUCCUAUGGUAUAGACAGGUUCUCAUCUUCCUACUACUGUCCUGUGGUGUGGUAUAGACAGGUUCUCAUCUUCCUACUACUGUCCUAUGGUGUGGUAUAGACAGGUUCUCAUCUUCCUACUACUGCCCUAUGGUAUAGACAGGUUCUCAUCUUCCUACUACUGUCCUAUGGUAUAGACAGGUUCUCAUCUUCCUACUACUGCCCAAUGGUAUAGACAGGUUCUCAUCUUCCUCCUGCUGUCCUGUGGUGUGGUAUAGACAGGUUCUCAUCUUCCUACUGCUGUCCUGUGGUGUGGUAUAGACAGGUUCUCAUCUUCCUCCUGCUGUCCUAUGGUGUGGUAUAGACAGGUUCUCAUCUUCCUACUACUGCCCUAUGGUGUGGUAUAGACAGGUUCUCAUCUUCCUACUACUGUCCUGUGGUAUAGACAGGUUCUCAUCUUCCUACUACUGCCCAAUGGUAUAGACAGGUUCUCAUCUUCCUCCUGCUGUCCUGUGGUGUGGUAUAGACAGGUUCUCAUCUUCCUACUGCUGUCCUGUGGUGUGGUAUAGACAGGUUCUCAUCUUCCUCCUGCUGUCCUAUGGUGUGGUAUAGACAGGUUCUCAUCUUCCUACUACUGCCCUAUGGUGUGGUAUAGACAGGUUCUCAUCUUCCUACUACUGUCCUGUGGUAUAGACAGGUUCUCAUCUUCCUACUACUGCCCAAUGGUAUAGACAGGUUCUCAUCUUCCUCCUGCUGUCCUGUGGUGUGGUAUAGACAGGUUCUCAUCUUCCUACUGCUGUCCUGUGGUGUGGUAUAGACAGGUUCUCAUCUUCCUCCUGCUGUCCUAUGGUGUGGUAUAGACAGGUUCUCAUCUUCCUACUACUGCCCUAUGGUGUGGUAUAGACAGGUUCUCAUCUUCCUACUACUGUCCUGUGGUAUAGACAGGUUCUCAUCUUCCUACUACUGCCCAAUGGUAUAGACAGGUUCUCAUCUUCCUCCUGCUGUCCUGUGGUGUGGUAUAGACAGGUUCUCAUCUUCCUACUGCUGUCCUGUGGUGUGGUAUAGACAGGUUCUCAUCUUCCUACUACUGCCCUAUGGUAUAGACAGGUUCUCAUCUUCCUACUGCUGUCCUGUGGUGUGGUAUAGACAGGUUCUCAUCUUCCUACUACUGCCCUGUGGUGUGGUAUAGACAGGUUCCCAUCUUCCUACUACUGUCCUGUGGUGUGGUAUAGACAGGUUCUCAUCUUCCUACUGCUGUCCUAUGGUAUAGACAGGUUCUCAUCUUCCUACUACUGUCCUAUGGUAUAGACAGGUUCUCAUCUUCCUACUACUGUCCUAUGGUAUAGACAGGUUCUCAUCUUCCUACUGCUGUCCUAUGGUAUAGACAGGUUCUCAUCUUCCUACUACUGUCCUAUGGUAUAGACAGGUUCUCAUCUUCCUACUGCUGUCCUGUGGUGUGGUAUAGACAGGUUCUCAUCUUCCUACUGCUGUCCUAUGGUGUGGUAUAGACAGGUUCUCAUCUUCCUACUGCUGUCUUGUGGUAUAGACAGGUUCUCAUCUUCCUACUGCUGUCUUGUGGUAUAGACAGGUUCUCAUCUUCCUACUGCUGUCCUGUGGUAUAGUCAGGUUCUCAUCUUCCUACUGCUGUCCUGUGGUGUGGUAUAGACAGGUUCUCAUCUUCCUCCUGCUGCCCUAUGGUGUGGUAUAGACAGGUUCUCAUCUUCCUACUACUGUCCUGUGGUAUAGACAGGUUCCCAUCUUCCUACUACUGUCCUAUGGUAUAGACAGGUUCUCAUCUUCCUACUACUGUCCUGUGGUGUCGUAUAGACAGGUUAUCAUCUUCCUACUACUGUCCUAUGGUGUGGUAUAGACAGGUUCUCAUCUUCCUACUACUGCCCAAUGGUAUAGACAGGUUCUCAUCUUCCUACUACUGCCCUAUGGUGUGGUAUAGACAGGUUCUCAUCUUCCUACUACUGCCCAAUGGUAUAGACAGGUUCUCAUCUUCCUCCUGCUGUCCUGUGGUGUGGUAUAGACAGGUUCUCAUCUUCCUACUGCUGUCCUGUGGUGUGGUAUAGACAGGUUCUCAUCUUCCUCCUGCUGUCCUAUGGUGUGGUAUAGACAGGUUCUCAUCUUCCUACUACUGCCCUAUGGUGUGGUAUAGACAGGUUCUCAUCUUCCUACUACUGUCCUGUGGUAUAGACAGGUUCUCAUCUUCCUACUACUGCCCAAUGGUAUAGACAGGUUCUCAUCUUCCUCCUGCUGUCCUGUGGUGUGGUAUAGACAGGUUCUCAUCUUCCUACUGCUGUCCUGUGGUGUGGUAUAGACAGGUUCUCAUCUUCCUACUACUGCCCUAUGGUAUAGACAGGUUCUCAUCUUCCUACUGCUGUCUUGUGGUAUAGACAGGUUCUCAUCUUCCUAUUGCUGUCCUGUGGUGUGGUAUAGACAGGUUCUCAUCUUCCUACUACUGCCCUGUGGUAUAGACAGGUUCUCAUCUUCCUACUACUGCCCUGUGGUAUAGACAGGUUCUCAUCUUCCUACUACUGCCCUGUGGUAUAGACAGGUUCUCAUCUUCCUACUACUGUCCUGUGGUAUAGACAGGUUCUCAUCUUCCUACUGCCCUGUCCUGUGGUAUAGACAGGUUCUCAUCUUCCUACUACUGUCCUAUGGUGUGGUAUAGACAGGUUCCCAUCUUCCUACUACUGCCCUGUCCUGUGGUAUAGACAGGUUCUCAUCUUCCUACUACUGUCCUGUGGUGUGGUAUAGACCAUCACAUCCAGACAAUACAACCGACCUCCUAGUUGUUUUACUGCAGGUGAACUGGUAUACGAGUUCACAACUCAUGUCUUACCACACUUUACCCAUUCAGGGUCGA